ACAGGAGAGCAGUAUUCAGUUCUGGGGAAAGAAAGGGCUGGGCCAGGGGAGGGGAAGAGAGAUUCCCAGCCAGCUGAUGUUGGAGAGAAGACUAGAUCCAGAAGAGGACCAAGAGCAGAGAAGGAAGUAAUUCCUUGGUUUCUGUGACUUCUUUCUCACCCAAGAUAGAUUUCAGGUGAUGGCUUGGACAACAGUGUAGCUUCCCCCAGCACAGGUGACGAUGAUGACCCUGAUAAGGACAAAAAGCGUCACAAAAAGCGUGGCAUCUUUCCCAAAGUAGCCACAAAUAUCAUGAGGGCGUGGCUGUUCCAGCAUCUAACACACCCUUACCCUUCUGAAGAACAGAAAAAGCAGUUGGCACAAGACACGGGACUCACCAUCCUUCAAGUGAACAAUUGGUUUAUUAAUGCCCGGAGAAGAAUAGUGCAGCCCAUGAUAGACCAGUCCAACCGAGCAGUAAGUCAAGGAACACCUUAUAAUCCUGAUGGACAGCCCAUGGGAGGUUUCGUAAUGGACGGUCAGCAACAUAUGGGAAUUAGAGCACCAGGGCUGC
rnacentral:sRNA from 1 species